AGUGAACGCUGGCGGUAGGCCUAACACAUGCAAGUCGAACGGCAGCACAGUAAGAGCUUGCUCUUACGGGUGGCGAGUGGCGGACGGGUGAGGAAUACAUCGGAAUCUACUUUUUCGUGGGGGAUAACGUAGGGAAACUUACGCAAAUACCGCAUACGACCUACGGGUGAAAGCAGGGGAUCUUCGGACCUUGCGCGAUUGAAUGAGCCGAUGUCGGAUUAGCUAGUUGGCGGGGUAAAGGCCCACCAAGGCGACGAACCGUAGCUGGUCUGAGAGGAUGAUCAGCCACACUGGAACUGAGACACGGUCCAGACUCCUACGGGAGGCAGCAGUGGGGAAUAUUGGACAAUGGGCGCAAGCCUGAUCCAGCCAUACCGCGUGGGUGAAGAAGGCCUUCGGGUUGUAAAGCCCUUUUGUUGGGAAAGAAAAGCAGCAGGUUAAUACCCCGCUGUUCUGACGGUACCCAAAGAAUAAGCACCGGCUAACUUCGUG
rnacentral:rRNA from 1 species